GGGGGCGCGGUAAAACUCCUUACAUGGGCUCAUGACGAUUCUGGAGGAGGAAAUGCCUCUUUUCCCUAGGCCAGACAACAAGAUAAAUCCAACAAACUAUCCCAAAUAUAAUUAUGUUAUUUAUGUUUAAUCCUACUAGUUUAGCCAAAUAACUAUUAAGGAUUAAAUUGAGUGUUUGCCGCAGUGGCGACCAGUCACGAGAAGCAGGAUCAAACCGGUUAGAGACAAUUUGUCAGAAUUUAGCUGGCGCACUAUCAGGUUUGCCAGGACUCGCUGGUACGCAUAUUUGGAUUUGUGAUUAAGUUUGUGUAAGCAUUCAGUAGAAUAAGUUCUCAAUUUCUAGAGCUCGGAUCUAGAGUUAAAAAUGAAACAUAUGGAUAGUAUCCGUCUCUGACGGACUUUGAAGAAAGUUGAAGAAUUUUUCAUGAGUCGUUAUUCACCGUCUCAUGAAAAAUUCUGCCGUUGUGGCAAUGUUGUGUUACGUUUAGAUUUAUUGUGCCGUAAAAUAAAAGCUUCAGCUCAGAUUUAACACGUUAAAACGCAAACUUAAAAAAAAAAAAGAAACAGAAGAGAAAGGUUGCUCCGCGCAUCGCGUAGCGAAAACCCCUGCCAAACCUCCCUUCGCACGAGAAACUAAAGCUGCUGCACACGACAACCAUGCUAUUCAGACCAAUAUCGUCGUCUCUUCUUCGAACGACGACUACGCAGACAAGCUUCGGGAGCAGCGAGCCAAGCCGUUGAGAGAAGCAAGGCUUGUCGUCCACAAUCGGCAGCACUCACGCCGUUUUCCGUAACCGCAGAGCCGUCGGAGUGGAGAGACAAGUCGUGGUACUGAGAAAGAUCAGUUCGGGCUAGUGCGUGAAAUCGGUCGGUCGCACGCAGCACGUUAUUCCGUGGUCGCCGAAUCGAGAGGAUUCCCUGAACAUUGGUGAUUAGAAUUUGGAAGAAUCCGCCGGUGUGGACGUUUAAUUAGUACACGUAUCCAAAAAUAAGAAAACCUCCUCUCUAUCGGGGAGCACCUUGCUGCGAGAUACAUCGCGCGGUUGGCCGGAUUGGAUUCCAUUGCGAGGCAAUCACGUGGAUAACAGGUGAGCUCAAAUUUUCUGGCGGCUAUAGAAAUCGACUGAGCGGGCUAUCAUCAAAGCUAACUUCGGCCAUUUUGUUAACCAUAUAGUUGGAGAGCAAGCCCGAUUGACGCACGUUGGGAUAGCUGUCCACGUUCACCCAGAACAACCAGGGUGCAACAAUAGCGACUUGGUCGCUGACCACACUCUGUGCGGGAAGGAGAGAUACUUCACCAGGAGGAUAAGCGAAAUCACACGUCGUAGAUUAGGGAGCCACGAGGCAAGUCAGGACGAUACAGCGGAAGAACGAAAGCCCCUCAAAAGGGUAAGAGAGAUAGUAACUAUAUGACUGCAGGCAGAAUUCUCAUGUCCAAUGCCUGCAGGGCUUUUUUUUCCCCUUAUAUUGUCUCGUUUCUGCUUAGAGCAAAGGCGUCUAGAAGGACGAGUGAGAUUCGCACUGAGGACAUACGAGUGGCCGAUCGACCGCAAGGAAAGCGUGGCGCUGAAGGUUUGGUGCAUGGACAACUGGGUGACGGUCCCGAUGGCCGCAAGAAUGGGAGCGUUCGUGCGAAGCCGCAAUGUAGCGCAUGUUCAUGCCUAAGGACGUCGCUCAACCUAAAGGAAGCAGCGGGUAGUGACGCAGCGUGGCGGCAACCGUGAGUUAAGGCAAUAUCCAUGUUAGAUAUAAGAGCUUGGUAGCUUGCACUACCCUAGGAGAGAUAGGGCCUGAGCAUAGGCAGAUUUUGCCCCAAAGAGGGAAAUACAAGAUGUUAAACUGAG